rnacentral:lncRNA from 1 species
UUGGUGAUUCCAAAAUCGACUUAUCAUUAUUCAUCAUAAUUCUAAUUUACUGAACAAAUGUUCAACUUUAAAACUAUUCACUAAACUACUAUACUAUAACUCAGUAACUCAGUAGAAUGAUAACGUAUUAUUAUACAGUUGGUUACUUUGUUCUAUUAAAAAUCUCUAUUCUCACUUCAAAUAUGAAUACUACGACUGUAGUUUUAUGAAAAAA